rnacentral:lncRNA from 1 species
GUAAACAAAGCAGAAAAUGUAGAAGAAAUGGGAAACUUUCUAGUUAUAUAUGACCUACCCAAAUCAAACCAAGAGGAUAUAAAAACCUAAGUAGCUCAAUAAUAAGCAGUAUGAUUAAAAUAGUAAUAAAAAUGUCUCCCAAUAAAAGCCCCAAACCAGAAAUAUUCACAGGUGAAUUUACCAGACUUUUAAAGAAGAACUAAUAGUAAUGCUCCUCAAGUUAUUCCCCAAACUAGAAAGGUAAAAAAACAAAACCUCCAAUCUCAUUCUACAAAGAAAGUAUUAUCUCACUACCAAAGCCUGAUAAGGAUACAACUAAGAAAACUAUAGACCAAUAUACUUGAUGAACACAAAUAUAAAAUCCUAAAUAAAGUGCUUGCAAAUAGAAUUCAACAAUAUAUUAAAAAGAUCAUCACCAUGGUCAAGUUGGUUUUAUUACAGAGAUACAAGGAUGGUUUCAUAUAUGCAAAUCAAUAAAUGCAAUACAACACAUAAAGAGAAUGAUGAAUGGAAAUCACAUGAUCAUCUCAAUAGAUGCAGAAAAAAUAUUUGAUAAAAUUCAACAUCCCUUCAUAAUAAAAGCUAUGCAGAAACAAGGUAAAGAAGGAACAUACCUCAAAAUAAUAAAGACUAUGUAGGACAAAUCCAUAGCCAUGGGAAAAACCUGAAAGAUUUCCUCUGAAACUCAUUAAGAAGACAAGGGUAUCCAUUCUCACUACUGUAAUUCAAUACAGUACUAGAAAUUUGUGCCAGAGAAUUGGGAAAGGGAAAAAAUAAAAGGAUUACAAACAGGGAAGAAGGAAUUUAAAUCAUCCUGGUUUGCAAAUGAUAUGAUUCUAUACUUGUAAGACCCUAAAGACUCCAGCAAAAGACUCUUAAAACUGAUAAAUAAUUUCAGCAAAGUAGCAAGAAACAAAAUCAACAUACAAAAAUCAGUGGCUUUUCUGUACAUCAAUAAUGAACCCAUUGAGAAAGAAAUCAAGAAAGCAAUCCCAUUUAAGUUAGCCUCAAAAAGUGAAGUAAACUGAAAUAAAAUACCUAAGAAUAAACCCAACUUAGUAGGUGAAAGACCUCUACAAUGACUAUUAUUAUAAAAUAGUAAAGAGGAAAUGAAAGAAGACAAAAGAAGAUGGAGACUUGAAGAAGUAAUAUUGUCAUAAUGCCAUGCUAUCAAAAGUAAUCUAUAGAGUCAAAGAAAUACUCAUCAAAAUGGCAAUUGCAUUCUUCCCAGAACUAGAAGAAGCAAUCCUAAAAUUCAUAUGGAAGCACAAAAGACCUGAAUAACCAAAGCAAUCCUGAGCCAAAAAAAUAAAAAAUAAUACCUGAUUUCCAAAUAUACUCCAAAGCCAUAACUACAGAAACAGUGUGGCAUUGGCAUAAAACAGACAUGUGCCCCAGUGGAACAGAAUAGAGGACCCAGAAAUAAAACCACACAUCUAUGGCCAUAUGAAUCUCCACAAUGAUACCAAAACCAUACAAGGGGGAAAGCACAGCCUCUGCAACAUGUGGUACUAGGAAAACUGAAUAAUCACAUAUAAAAGAUUGAAACUAGAUCACUAUCCCUCAACAUGUAAAAAAAAUCAACUUAAAAUUGGUCAAAGACUUAAUAUAAGACCUGAAACUAUGGAAAUAUUAGAAGAAAACCUGGGAAAAACACUUCAAGAUAUUGGCAUACACAAUUAUUUUCUGGAUAUUUUGACUUUAAUAAUUCAGAAAAUAAAAGCAAGAAUUGACAAAUGGGAAUAUAUCUAAAGGCAUCUGCAUGGCAAAGGAAGCAAUCCUCAAAGCUAACAGACAACCUAUAGAAUAGGGGUAAAUCUCCAGCAGCCAUUUAUCUGACAGAGGAUUAAUAUCCAGCAUAUAUAAAAAACCUAAAGAACCUAACAACAACAAACGAAUUAAAUAAUUAUAUUAAUAAACAGGCACUGAAUAGACACUUUAUGAAAAUACAAAUGGCCAACAAAUAUAUGAAAGAUGCUCAAUAUCUUUAGCCAUCAGAGUAAUGCUAAGCUCCAAUGAGAUUCUAUUAUAGACCAGUUACAAUAGCUAUCAUCAAAAAAGAAAAAAGAAAGAAAGAAAGGAAAAGAAAAGAAAAAGUAUGGCUGGCAAGGAUGUGGGGGGAAAAGGAAUUUUAUACACGUUGGUGGGAACGUAAACUAAUAACAGUCACUAUGGAAGACAGUAUGGAGGUUUCUCAAAAAUCUAAAAACAGAACUACCAUAUGAUGAAAUUGUCCCAUUUCUCAGUAUAUAAAUGAAGGAAAUGAAGAUAGCAUACAAAAGAGAACCUGCAUCCCGUGUUUAUUGAGGCACUAUUUAAAAUAACCAAAAUAUGGCAUCAGCCUAGAUGUCUGCCAACAGAUGAAUGGAUCAAGAAAGUGUGAUGUAUAUAUAUACACACACAUAAUGGAGUAUUAUGUAGCCAUAAAGAAGAAUGAGAUCCUGUCAUUUGCAGGAAAAUGGUAGAACCGGAGAUUAUCUUGUUAAGUAAAAUAAGCCAGACACAGAAGUCAAGUAUUGCAUGUUUUUCUAUGU